rnacentral:misc_RNA from 1 species
AGGUUCUGUGCCACCCUGGCC